AUUGAACGCUGGCGGCAGGCCUAACACACGCAAGUCGAGCGGUAGAGAGAAGGUUGCUUCUCUUGAGAGCGGCGGACGGGUGAGUAAUGCCUAGGAAUCUGCCAGGUAGUGGGGGAUAACGUUCGGAAACGGACGCUAAUACCGCAUACGUCCUACGGGAGAAAGCAGGGGACCUUCGGGCCUUGCGCUAUCAGAUGAGCCUAGGUCGGAUUAGCUAGUUGGUGAGGUAAUGGCUCACCAAGGCGACGAUCCGUAACUGGUCUGAGAGGAUGAUCAGGCACACUGGAACUGGGACACGGUCCAGACUCCUACGGGAGGCAGCAGUGGGGAAUAUUGGACAAUGGGCGAAAGCCUGAUCCAGCCAUGCCGCGUGUGUGAAGAAGGUCUUCGGAUUGUAAAGCACUUUAAGUUGGGAGGAAGGGUUGUAGAUUAAUACUCUGCAAUUUUGACGUUACCGACAGAAUAAGCACCGGCUAACUCUGUGCCAGCAGCCGCCGUAA
rnacentral:rRNA from 1 species